UACGUAGGGGGCUAGCGUUGUCCGGAAUCAUUGGGCGUAAAGAGCGCGUAGGCGGCCAGAUAAGUCCGGUGUGAAAGUCAAAGGCUCAACCUUUGAAUGCCGCUGGAAACUGUCUGGCUAGAGUCCGGGAGGGGCGAGUGGAAUUCCUGGUGUAGCGGUGAAAUGCGCAGAUAUCAGGAGGAACACCAAUGGCGAAGGCAGCUCGCUGGAACGGUACUGACGCUGAGGCGCGAAAGCGUGUGGAGCAAACAGG
rnacentral:rRNA from 1 species